AAAGUAACACGUAACAUUCUGUAAUGUUGUAUUGUUCCAGAUUCAUCGCGCCACAAGAUACGCUGGAACUCAUCUGCAUCCUCCAGGUUUACCUUCACCUGUCGAUACAUCUUAACGAGUCAGGAUGGGCAAAACGUAUUCAAAGAUUAAGAGCAGAUCAGAUGUUCAACAUGCUGAAUGUAGAUGUUACUGGUACAAAACGUAAAGCUCCCGACAGUGAUGACGAAAAGGAAAA
rnacentral:misc_RNA from 1 species